UGAACGCUGGCGGUAUGCUUAACACAUGCAAGUCGAACGGUGUUUUCGGACACAGUGGCGGACGGGUGAGUAACGCGUGAGAAUCUAGCUUCAGGUCUGGGACAACCACUGGAAACGGUGGCUAAUACCGGAUGUGCCGGAAGGUGAAAGGCUUGCUGCCUGAAGAUGAGCUCGCGUCCGAUUAGCUAGUAGGUGGGGUAAGAGCCUACCUAGGCGACGAUCGGUAGCUGGUCUGAGAGGAUGACCAGCCACACUGGGACUGAGACACGGCCCAGACUCCUACGGGAGGCAGCAGUGGGGAAUUUUCCGCAAUGGGCGAAAGCCUGACGGAGCAAUACCGCGUGAGGGAGGAAGGCUCUUGGGUUGUAAACCUCUUUUCUCAGGGAAGAACACAAUGACGGUACCUGAGGAAUCAGCAUCGGCUAACUCCGUGCCAGCAGCCGCGGUAAUACGGAGGAUGCAAGCGUUAUCCGGAAUGAUUGGGCGUAAAGCGUCCGCAGGUGGCUGUGUAAGUCUGCUGUCAAAGAGCGAAGCUCAACUUCGUAAAGGCAGUGGAAACUACACGGCUAGAGUGCGUUCGGGGCAGAGGGAAUUCCUGGUGUAGCGGUGAAAUGCGUAGAGAUCAGGAAGAACACCGGUGGCGAAGGCGCUCCGCUAGGCCGCAACUGACACUGAGGGACGGAAGCUAGGGGAGCGAAUGGGAUUAGAUACCCCAGUAGUCCUAGCUGUAAACGAUGGAUACUAGGCGUGGCUUGUAUCGACCCGAGCCGUGCCGUAGCUAACGCGUUAAGUAUCCCGCCUGGGGAGUACGCACGCAAGUGUGAAACUCAAAGGAAUUGGCGGGGGCCCGCACAAGCGGUGGAGUAUGUGGUUUAAUUCGAUGCAACGCGAAGAACCUUACUAAGGCUUGACAUGUCGCGAACCUUCUUGAAAGAGAAGGGUGCCUUCGGGAGCGCGAACACAGGUGGUGCAUGGCUGUCGUCAACUCGUGUCGUGAGAUGUUGGGUUAAGUCCCGCAAUGAGCGCAACCCUCGUUUUUAGUUGCCAGCAUUAAGUUGGGCACUCUAGAGAGACUGCCGGUGACAAACCGGAGGAAGGUGGGGAUGACGUCAAGUCAGCAUGCCCCUUACGCCUUGGGCUACACACGUACUACAAUGCUACGGACAGAGGGCAGCAAGCUAGCGAUAGCAAGCUAAUCCCAUAAACCGUAGCUCAGUUCAGAUCGAAGGCUGCAACUCGCCUUCGUGAAGGAGGAAUCGCUAGUAAUUGCAGGUCAGCAUACUGCAGUGAAUUCGUUCCCGGGCCUUGUACACACCGCCCGUCACACCAUGGAAGCUGGCAACGCCCGAAGUCAUUACUCCAACCCUCGGGGGGAGGAUGCCUAAGGCAGUGCUGGUGACUGGGGUG
rnacentral:rRNA from 1 species